CGGCUGUGAUGACUUCUUAGGACACCUUUGGAUUACACAUGAAAACAACCUGAUGAAGAUCUGAGCCUC
ensembl:snoRNA SNORD58 Small nucleolar RNA SNORD58